AUUGAACGCUGGCGGCAUGCUUUACACAUGCAAGUCGAACGGGCUGGGGGCAACUCCAGUCAGUGGCGAACGGGUGAGUAAUGCAUCGGAACGUGUCCCAUAGUGGGGGAUAACCCAGCGAAAGCUGGGCUAAUACCGCAUAAGCUCUAUGGAGGAAAGCGGGGGAUCGCAAGACCUCGCGCUUUGGGAGCGGCCGAUGUCCGAUUAGCUUGUUGGUGGGGUAAUGGCCUACCAAGGCGACGAUCGGUAGCUGGUCUGAGAGGAUGAUCAGCCACACUGGGACUGAGACACGGCCCAGACUCCUACGGGAGGCAGCAGUGGGGAAUUUUGGACAAUGGGGGCAACCCUGAUCCAGCCAUGCCGCGUGCGGGAAGAAGGCCUUCGGGUUGUAAACCGCUUUUAGCCGGGAAGAAAAGGCACGGGCCAAUACCCCGUGUUCUUGACGGUACCGGCGGAAUAAGCACCGGCUAACUACGUGCCAGCCGCCGCGGUAAGAC
rnacentral:rRNA from 1 species